UCAAAUUUGCCCGCUUUUUCCUCUUCCAUGGAGUAGCUUCUCUCGCUCUGACCUUGGACGAUUUACAACGAACUACAGUGACCCACGACAACCAGCGACAGGUGGUUUUGCAGCGGUGACCCUUGGCUUCUCUGGUUCUCACUCAUUCUCUCUGUUUCUCACGAAAACCAUUUUCGUUCUUUCUCUAUUUCUCAAUUUCUCUCGUUCAUACCUACAACAAUUUACUGAGAACUACAGUGACCCACGGCGAAACUGCAAGAAACAUGAGCACGUCUUGUUUCAAAAACGAUUAAUUAAGGAGUGCUGCAGAGAAAAAUUAUAAAGAUUACAUGCCACAUAACCAUAGAUUUACUGGAAUGAUCCAUCGGGAACAGGAUUCAUGCCCACUGUAUGAAUAGCUCGGUGAUGGGAAAGCUGGUCUGCUCAUCGCCACAGAGACCAAGAAAUGAGUGGAAAGAAGCAUAACUAAGGACGGGAACUUCUGUCACUGUGAAAUAGGAGAAGAGGUUCAGUUUUGUUGGCGGUCUCGUAUUACUAGUUUUGGGGAUUGCAGAAAUAGGACGUAGUUGAGCCCUAACAUCAGAGAGUUUCUUAUGACUCUUAGUAGAGAGGACUCCCUCUGAGUACAAGAAAGGAAACGGGCUAGCGCUACUUAGUACAAGAAAAAUCGUGAAUUCCUGUUGCAGUGUGUUUGGGAUUCUGAUUGCUUUUGUUAUUUGGCACAAGGGGAAAGCUGAGAAUUACAAGCUGUCCGUCACCUAAUUUAUUCAUCAGUUUCUUUGAACGAAUUAUUGCAGUUUUGAAUUUUUCUAGAUUCAUGAACCUUUAAUGGCGGAUAAUAGGAAUGGAAAUGUCAAGGCUCCAAAUGGUAAA